UUGGGAAUCGUUCACAAUGGACGAAAGUCUGAUGACGCAAUGCCGCGUGAAGGAAGAAGGCUUUCGGGUCGUAAACUUCUUUUCUCUGGGACGAUUAUGACGGUACCAGAGGAAUAAGGGCCUGCUAACUACGUGCCAGCAGCCGCGGUAAUACGUAGGGCCCGAGCGUUAUCCGGUAUUAUUGGGCGUAAAGAGUACGUAGGCGGUUAAGUAAGACAAUGGUUAAAGCUCCGAGCUCAACUCGGAAAUCGCCGUUGUUACUGCUUAACUUGUCGGUAGCAGGGGCAAGCGGAAUUCUCGGUGUAGGAGUGAAAUCCGUUGAGAUCGAGAAGAACACCAAUGGCGAAGGCAGCUUGCUAGGCUACUUGAGACGCUGAGGUACGAAAGCGUGGGGAGCGAACGGGAUUAGAUACCCCUGUAGUCC
rnacentral:rRNA from 1 species